AGCAGCCGCGGUAAUUCCAGCUCCAAUAGCGUAUAUUAAAGUUGUUGCAGUUAAAAAGCUCGUAGUUGAAUUUCGAGACCGGUUUACUGGUCGUGCUUUUGUACGUACUGGUAUUAUUGGUUUCUCCUUUCUGACGAACUAUAAUGCCAUUAAUUUGGUGUUUUAGGGAAUCAGGACUGUUACUUUGAAAAAUUAGAGUGUUUAAAGCAGGCUCACGCUUGAAUACAUUAGCAUGGAAUAACGGAAUAGGACGUUUGAUUCUAUUUUGUUGGUUUCUAGGAUCGACAUAAUGAUUAAUAGGGAUAGUUGGGGGCAUUAGUAUUCAAUUGUCAGAGGUGAAAUUCUUGGAUUUAUUGAAGACUAACUACUGCGAAAGCAUUUGCCAAGGAUGUUUUCAUUAAUCAAGAACGAAAGUUAGGGGAUCGAAGACGAUCAGAUACCGUCGUAGUC
rnacentral:rRNA from 1 species